rnacentral:lncRNA from 1 species
AGCCUCCACACUGACUCUGAACCGUAACACCCUGUAUAUAGCCUCCACAUUGACUCUUUACCGGUAGCCCCUGUAUAUAGCCUCCACACUGACUCGGUACCAUAACACCCUGUAUAUAGCCUCCACAUUGACUCUGUACCGGUAGCCCCUGUAUAUAGCCUCCACACUGACUCGGUACCAUAACACCCUGUAUAUAGCCUCCACAUUAACUCUGUACCGUAACACCCUGUAUAUAGCCUCCACAUUGACUCUGUACCGGUACACCCUGUAUAUAGCCUCCACAUUGACUCUGUACCGGUACCCCCUGUAUAUAGCCUCCACAUUGACUCUGUACCGUAACACCCUGUGUACUGUGUAUAGCCUCCACAUUGACUCUGUACCAUAACACCCUGUAUAUAGCCUCCACAUUGACUCUGUACCGGUACCCCCUGUAUAUAGCCUCCACAUUGACUCUGUACCGGUACCCCCUGUAUAUAGUCUCCACAUUGACUCUGUACCGGUACCCCCUGUAUAUAGUCUCCACAUUGACUCUGUACCGGUACCCCCUGUAUAUAGUCUCCACAUUGACUCUGUACCGGUACCCCCUGUAUAUAGCCUCCACAUUGACUCUGUACCGUAACACCCUGUAUAUAGCCUCCACAUUGACUCUGUACCGUAACACCCUGUAUAUAGCCUCCACAUUGACUCUGUACCGUAAUACCCUGUAUAUAGCCUCCACAUUGACUCUGUACCGGUACCCCCUGUAUAUAGCCUCCACAUUGACUCUGUACCGGUACACCCUGUAUAUAGUCUCCACAUUGACUCUGUACCGUAACACCCUGUAUAUAGCCUCCACAUUGACUCUGUACCGUAAUACCCUGUAUAUAGCCUCCACAUUGACUCUGUACCGGUACCCCCUGUAUAUAGCCUCCACAUUGACUCUGUACCGGUACACCCUGUAUAUAGCCUCCACAUUGACUCUGUACCGGUACCCCCUGUAUAUAGCCUCCACAUUGACUCUGUACCGGUACACCCUAUAUAUAGCCUCCACAUUGACUCUGUACCGGUACCCCCUGUAUAUAGCCUCCACAUUGACUCUGUACCGGUACCCCCUGUAUAUAGCCUCCACAUUGACUCUGUACCAUAACACCCUGUAUAUAGCCUCCACAUUGACUCUGUACCGGUACCCCCUGUAUAUAGUCUCCACACUGACCGUAAUACCCUGUAUAUAGCCUCCACAUUGUUAUUUUAUUGUGUUACUUCUUAUUUUAUUUUAUACUUUAGUUUAUUUUGUAAAUGGUUUCUUAACUCUAUUUAUUGAACUGAUUUAGUUGGUUAAGGGCUUGUAAGUGAGCAUUUCACGGUAAGGUCUACACCUGUUGUAUGCAGCAUUUCACAGUAAGCUCUACUACACCUGUUGUAUUCGGCGCGUGUGACAAAUACAAUUUGAUUUGAUUUGAUUACACAGACCCUUAAAGAAUUUGAAAACAAAUCCAAUCUUGAGAAACUCUAUUAGGUGAAAUAUCAGGGUGUACCACCGCAGCAGGAAGGUGUGUGACCUGUUGCAAUAAGGAAAGGUCAACCAGUGGAGCACAAACAACAUUGUAAACACCACCUAUAUUAUUCUGUUCAUUUAUUUUCCCUUUCGUACUUCAACUAUUUGCACAUUGUUACAACUAUAAUAUAACAUUUGAAAGGUCUUUAUUAUUUUAAAACUGUUGUGAGUAUCAUGUUGAUUCUUCAUUUUUUUAUUGUUUAUUUCCCUUUUGUUUCUUGUCUAUUUCACUGGCUUUGGCAAUGUAAACAUAUGUUUCCCAUGCCAAUAAAGCCCUUUGAAUUGAAUUUAAUCCAGAGAGGUUAUAAGAAGAGAGAGAUAAUUUAGAAUGAGAGAGAGAGAGGGGGGGUUAGGUUGAGAGUGAGAGAGAGGUUAGGAGGACAGAGAGAGAGGUUAGGAGGUCAGAGAGAGAGGUUAGGAGAGAGAGAGAGGUUAGGAGAGAGAGAGAGGUUAGGAGGAGAGAGAGGUUAGGAGAGAGAGAGAUUAGAAGGAGAGAAAGCGAGAGCUUAGGAGGAGAGAGAGAGAGGUUAGAAGGAUAGCUAAACAGACUGACAUAUAUUUCUAGAUUAUUCUUUCCUUCAUAUCCUCCAGGAAAACACAGACAGGAGAACACUAAAUCUUAAUUGCAUCGUUCCAAUAGUGGCA